rnacentral:lncRNA from 1 species
GCUCUGCCAUGUCAACUCCACAUCACAAGUUUAAUUGUUAACUAUAUAAUAGUGAGGGGGGCAAUCAAAAGAAGAAAUAUGAAGAAAAAAAAGAUUUUGUUUAAAGAAAAUUAAAAAGUUAUAAAAAUUAAAAUAGAGAAAUUAAUUUUAAAAAAACAAUUAAAAAUUAAAAUAGUAGAAUUAAAACUGCAUUUAACUCUUUAAUUUAUUAAAUUCAUCCGUGCAAGCAUGGUUUACAAUCUUGUUUAAAAUAAA